rnacentral:lncRNA from 1 species
UACUGUUUUAUUCUGACCUAACAGUAACUCAAGUGCUCACAUUGUCUUUUCAGAUACUUUCUCAACUAGAUCCAUUUCAUAACCUGUACUGCUGUUCUAGACUGCUGUAAUUUCUUUCGGCAUACAACCAGGCACUUGAUGUAUAACAUGUAAUGGGGAAGGACUUCAUAAUUGCAGAACUGUCUUCAAGGCUUCAUCUAAAAGCAGAGUCCAUUGCUUCUGACAACUGAGUCCUUCAGACGCUUCAUCAGAGUUGAUGCUGCUUUCAUCACAAUGAGAGGAGAGUGUUCGGUUACCCAUCUAGAGCAACUCAUGUCCCUUUUUUUUUCUCAAUUUCAAA